GCUAUUUUUUCGGGAAAUAUAUCGAUGGUUUCAGUGAAAAUGAGUAGCCGCGCUAGCAGGACACUCUAUGUUGGGAAUCUGCCUGGCGAUAUUCGUGAGAGAGAAGUGGAGGAUUUAUUCUACAAGUAUGGACCUGUAGCACACAUCGAUCUCAAGAUCCCACCAAGGCCCCCUGGUUAUGCAUUUGUUGAGUUUGAAGACGCUCGAGAUGCAGAAGAUGCAAUUCGCGGUCGUGAUGGCUAUGAUUUUGAUGGGCAUCGUUUGCGGGUAGAGCUUGCACAUGGUGGGCGUGGACAUUCAUCUUCAGAUCGCCACAGUAGUUACAGUGGUGGGCGUGGAAGAGGAGUGUCCAGGCGCUCUGAGUAUCGUGUUUUGAUCACUGGGUUGCCCUCAUCUGCUUCAUGGCAAGACCUUAAGGAUCACAUGCGACGUGCAGGUGAUGUCUGUUUCUCUCAAGUGUUUCGUGAUGGUAGUGGUACCACAGGGAUUGUGGAUUACACAAACUACGACGACAUGAAGUCAGCAAUCAAGAAACUUGAUGACUCUGAGUUUCGGAAUGCGUUUUCCCGAGCAUAUGUCCGAGUGAAGGAAUACGAUUCCAAGCGGGACCUCUCUAAAAGUCCCAGUCGUAGCCGAUCUCAUUCAAGAGGCCGUGGUGACAGCCGCAGCCGUGGCAGAAGUUCUAGCCGGAGCAGGAGCCCUACCAAAUCUCCUAAAACCAAAUCGUCUCGCCGCUCGCCUGUUAGGUCAAGAUCAAGAUCUAGAUCUGCUUCUCGGUCUCACUCUGGGUCAAAACGCCGUUCUUUGUCAAGUGAACUGGGGAUUGGAAAAUAGGAUCUUGAUGGGAUAUGGUUCAGUUCCUGCAUCUUUUUUGGGUUUGUGGAGGUAUGCUGUUUUUCAGAUGGGCAGCUCUGGAAACCUUCAUGGUGUUUCUUAUCUAAUGUAUUUAGCAUGUUAAAUGUCCAUGGGUGCUAGAUUGGGGACAAAGGAGAUUAUGGAUUGCAUUAGGAAAGCUGGACUGCAGUAACUAACUGCUAGGGGAUCUGGAAGUCACCAGCAAUGAGCGGUAGAAACUGUCAUUAUCAUUUUCUACUUCAAUUUGCCAAGCUAAUAGGACCUGCUAGCUGGACUCUCUCUGGAUUUUGUGGUACAGUAGGGAAGCAUGCUUCUUUUCUGUCCAAUGAUGUCUUGGAACCUAUUAUAAUUCAUUAGUUAAGUGUUUGUUUUUUUCCUUCUUCUUCCUUGUCCAUUUAGUUAGGUAUUUUGUAGGGUGGAAAUUUUAUGAAUUAGGCUCCUCCCCUUCUUGAAUUGCUAAAGGUUUGUGGCCCUUCCUUUUAUGCCUUCUGAAUUUGGUAACUCUGACAUGGGAGUGGCAUCAAGGCUUUUGGAUGACAGUUCUUAAAAGGAACCUGUGGAAUUUAAAUUUGGGUUGUUUCUUGGAACUUUUGCAGAUCGCGUUCAAGAUCAAGAUCUCCACUUCCUUCUCGUCAGAAAAACACAAGUAAGAGUCCAAAAACAAAGAGUGUCAGCAGAAGCCCAAGCAGGAGCAAGAGCUUAUCCCGGUGAGAUGUGACAAAAAAUCCACAAGUCAGGAAGCUUGAAUGAGCAUAUGGUGCUUAACCUUGCAUGAUAUGGGUUAUAAAGUUCUGGAAAACAUUUUUAUCCCCUCCUUUUGCGAGACUUUGGGAUUCUUGUGACUUGCACAAUCGUAGCUUUGAUAUGGAUUGUUCAAAUUGAUAAGCUUAUUUGGUGGACUUGAGCGUCUGUAUUGAUUCUCUGUUACUCUGAAGAGGCCUGUUUACAUUCAUUGGGUUUACAUGGUAUGUUGGUAGAUCCUUUUAUGUCUGGCAA